rnacentral:lncRNA from 1 species
UUCAGCUUUGGCUGGGGGAAGGGUCGAAGGGUCACAGGGUCACAGAGCUCAGAGCCUCUUCCUAAACACAGCUCAAGUUGGCCCAUGAGUGUGUGUGUGUGUGUGCAUGUGUGUGUGUUACACACAGCCAGGGGCACAUUGGAGCACAAAGAACUGUGAUCAACAGGUAAACUACACCUAAAAGGAACGCCAGGCUUGAUGGGCAAAGGGGAGCCAAGGUAGGUCCCUCUGCAGGUUCCCGACAGGGGAGAGGAUGGACAGUAGGGAGAGCACAUUUUGCUACAGUUAAGUCGAGUUGAACAUGCCAGCCAGGGGUAGGGGUAGCCAGCAGGUGGAAUCUGAACGCUCACCCUCUGCCUUGCAGUGGGGCAGAAAAAAGUCAAUGUGUAGGGGUGAUGGUAAAAGCUGGGCAAAUGGAAGACACUGCUGAGGGAGAGAAGCCAAGGAAGGAAGGAGGGGGUCAGGAGUGAGGGGACUCCACUCCAGGGUCCCAGGAGGGGGACUUUUAGAAGGCUGUGGCCAACCCAUCCCAGAGCAGAGAUGCUUCUCCCACUGUCUGCUUAUCCCCAGGGUAUGCUGGAACAGGGGUUCAGGGCAGGAAACUCCCCCGGGAGGGAGACCUGAGGCUUGGAAGCACGCAGAAAGGCUUGGCUCUAAACCCAAUCCACACCGCUCCGCAGAAGAGAGCUCUGAAACGGGAGGCAGUAGGCCAAGGGACACCCAGGGGAAGGGAGUCCCCCAUCCUCAGUUCCUACGAAGACCACGGCCUGGGCCUUUUAUUCAGACCCUGCUAGGCCCAGGAGCCCAGCA